UUGAUAUAAAAUUGGUGGUGAUGUAUCUCAAAAUACAAACCCUUACUUUUACAAGCCCGGUUCUUAUAGUGAUAUUGACAAAUCAUUUAAGAGUUUUAUAGAACAAUACAUUUGAUCAAAUGUCUCCAAUAUU